UACGUAGGGUGCGAGCGUUAAUCGGAAUUACUGGGCGUAAAGCGUGCGCAGGCGGUUCGUUGUGUCGGCGGUGAAAGCCCCGGGCUUAACCUGGGAAUGGCCGUCGAAACUGGCGAACUGGAGUGUGGGCAGAGGGGGGGGUGGAAUUCCAGGUGUAGCGGUGAAAAUGCGUAGAUAUCUGGAGGAACACCGGUGGCGAAGGCGGCAUCCUGGACCAACACUGACACUGAGGAGCGAAAAGCCAGGGGGAGCAAACGGG
rnacentral:rRNA from 1 species